AUUGAACGCUGGCGGCGGGCUUAACACAUGCAAGUCGAACGAAAGGCGGACUGGUGAGUCAUGCUUGGGCAUCUAGCUUAUGGAGGGGGCUAACUACGGUAAACUGUAGCUAAUACCGCGUACCCUAGUAUGAGCCCAAGUGGGUGUAGGUAGUUGGUGAGGUAUAGGAGCACAAAGCCGACGAUCUCUAGCUGGUCUGAGAGGAUGACCAGCCAAACGGGGACUGAGACACGGCCCAGAGUCCUACGGGAGGCAGCAGUGGGGAAUAUUGGGCAAUGGGGGAAAGCUGACGCAGCCAUGCCGCGUGAAUGAAGAAGGUCUUCGGGUUGUAAAGUUCUGUCGUUAGCGAGGCGUUAACUACAGAAGAAGCACCGGCUAACUUCGUGCCAGCAGCCGCGGUAAUAC
rnacentral:rRNA from 1 species